rnacentral:rRNA from 1 species
UACAGAGGUCCCGAGCGUUGUUCGGAUUCACUGGGCGUAAAGGGUGCGUAGGUGGCCAUGAAAGUCUGAUGUGAAAUCUCCGGGCUCAACCCGGAAAAUGCAUUGGAUACUAUGUGGCUUGAGGUUUGGAGGGGGGACUGGAAUUCUCGGUGUAGCAGUGAAAUGCGUAGAUAUCGAGAGGAACACCAGUGGCGAAGGCGGGUCCCUGGACAACACCUGACACUGAGGCACGAAAGCUAGGGGAGCAAAC